GUGAGGAAUUUUCCGCAAUGGGCGAAAGCCUGACGGAGCAAUGCCGCGUGAAGGAUGAAGGCCUAUGGGUUGUAAACUUCUUUUCUCAGAAAAGAAUUAUGACGGUAUCUGAGGAAUAAGCAUCGGCUAACUCUGUGCCAGCAGCCGCGGUAAGACAGAGGAUGCAAGCGUUAUCCGGAAUGAUUGGGCGUAAAGCGUCUGUAGGUUGUUUAAAAAGUAUUCUGUCAAAGAUUAGGGCUUAACCCUAGAUAGGCAGAAUAAACUUUUAAGCUAGAGUUUGGUAGAGGCAGAGGGAAUUCCCGGUGGAGCGGUGAAAUGCGUAGAUAUCGGGAGGAACAACAAAGGCGAAGGCACUCUGCUGGGCCAAUACUAACACUGAGAGACGAAAGCGAGGGGAGCAAAUGGGAUUAGAAACCCUAGUAGUCC
rnacentral:rRNA from 1 species